rnacentral:snoRNA from 1 species
AGGGAAAAGACGAUGAUGUGUUUCCAAGCACAUAUCUGAUUUAUAUAUGUGGAUGACAGUCAAGUCAAGCUGAGUCUUUUCCGA